ACGCUGUUUAUAGAUGUAACUGUUACUGGAAAUGUGCAAUUAGUGCAAGUACUAAAAAAGGAACGUAGAAAUAGCACAAGUUGAUCAACACUGAAAAGCGGAACUAAACUCCACUCGCCAUCAAAAACCAAUCGACUUUGGUGCGAAACACUUGAUGAAGGUUCGUUCGCAGGAAACGAUGAAAAUAAAUAAAGACAAGCAGACGGAAAAGCCAAAGGAAAGUCAAUCAGACGACAAAGCAAGCGAACAAAUAAAUCUUGCAAGUGCCUUGAAACACUGGUCGCUAAAAAUACAAUUCACAUCGGUUCGCCCCGUUGACUGACGCUGUGCGGCACAGCCACAGUCACAGCCACAGUCACAAACACUGGCAAACACACAAAUCAUUGACAGGCAAACCACAGCUAACUUAACGAAACGGGAGAGCGCGUGCCAAAAACUGCCGCUCAGAGAGAAGGAGGAGCAGAGCCGAGCAGUGAGCGUGAGUGUGAGUGUGAGUGUGAGAGAGAGAGAGAGGCAAAGAGAUAGAGAGCGCGUGCAAGAGGUUACAAUUUCGUAAUAAGUGUGCGGGCCAAGCAGCUGAUUGUUUAUUUGAUAUUACCGAUAGCAAGACACACACACACAAACAGCCGAUGGCUUGAGUAGAGGCGUAUACCGAUCGUCGAGCAAACAAAAGGAAUCAAAGAACGGGGAGGGCUGCAAGGGCAACAGCACGAAAGCUUAGUCAGCGAAAGCCCCCAACAACAGCAGCAGCAGCAAUAACAACAACAAGAACUACAGUAAAAGCA